ensembl:scaRNA
GGCCUUUUGUCCAUUGGGCUUUGGGGAAUCACAUUAUUCUUCAGUCGGGGCUGGAGGCCAUGAUCAAUCUGUGAGGGUAAUCUUCAUCAGGACUGCCAGGAGGAGGCAGACUUGUUUUCUGCUCUCAGACACUG